rnacentral:sRNA from 1 species
AGGCUCUCUGCUGGGUGCCAGGAACGCAGCACUGACCACGACAAAGCCCCUGCCUUAGAGAGAUGACAUUUCAGUAUAAGGACAGAGACGGCAAAUGGACAAGCAAGUGAAUGAAUGUGUCAGGAAGCAGUGUGGCUGGGAAGAAAUACUUAAAAGCAGGGCAAGAGAAUAGAGCAUAUUGGCUGCCAUUUAGGCAGGAAAUACCUCUUGUGCUGACAUUUGAAGUGAAGGGACAGCCAUAUUUAUGGUCAAUGUUACAUGGGAUGGCAAAGACUUAUCCUUCACUGAGGAAGGCUACCAGGUGCACCCCAGGCUGGUGGUGAUUGUGCUGAACAAAGACCGGGAAUGGGAAAAGGUGGGCAAGUGGGAGAACCAUACGCUGAGCCUGAGGCACGCCGUGUGGCCCAGGUACAAGUCCUUCUCCGACUGU